rnacentral:lncRNA from 1 species
AGCCUGAACUGUCAGAAGGUGACAGCCGGCAGAAAGUUCCUGCCCUGGGGUCACAGCUGGAUUCCGGCAACUUGCUCCUUGAUUUACCAGUAAAACUAAUAAUAAUAGAUGGAUGUUCUGCUCUAUGUUUGUCCACAAAAGAAUUCACGACUCUGGACCUACAGUACUCUUCAGCAAAGCAGGAGGGGUGUAUUCCUGCCUGCAGACUUUGGGAAAUCACCACAGGGAGUCAGACUACUGAAGCACAGUCAAGCAGUAAAUCUACCAGCAACUUUUGCUGUCUUCAGAUACAAAUUCACGGGGAAGGUAGAGAGCAGUUCAACCAGAGGAGCCUGUGCCUUCAAGGAAGCCUGUUUUAGUGCAGUGCAGAAGCAGGACCUCAUCUUCCUUUUGUCCACAUCCUGA